UACAGAGGUCCCAAGCGUUGUUCGGAUUUACUGGGCGUAAAGGGAGCGUAGGUGGCAGGCUAAGUCUAAUGUGAAAGCUCUGAGCUUAACUCAGAAAUGGCAUUGGAUACUAGUUUGCUUGAGGAUUGGAGGGGAGAUUGGAAUGCUCGGUGUAGCAGUGAAAUGCGUAGAUAUCGAGCGGAACACCAGUGGCGAAGGCGAAUCUCUGGACAAUUCCUGACACUGAUGCUCGAAAGCUAGGGGAGCAAACGGG
rnacentral:rRNA from 1 species